ACGGGAGGCAGCAGUAGGGAAUAUUGCACAAUGGGGGAAACCCUGAUGCAGCAACGCCACGUGUGGGAAGAAGCAUUUCGGUGUGUAAACCACUGUCGUGAAGGAAUAAUGCUUGGUCUCGGCCAAGUUGAAUGUACUUUGAAAGGAAGCACCGGCAAACGUCGUGCCAGCAGCCGCGGGAAUACGAGGGGUGCAAGCGGUGUUCGGAAUCACUGGGCGUAAAGGGAGCGCAGGCGGAGAUGCAAGCAGUCCGUACAAUCCCGGGGCCCAACCCCGGACCUGCAUACCGAACUGUUUCUCUUGGAUAGCUCAGGGGCUAGCGGAAUUCCUGGUGUAGCGGUGGAAUGCGUAGAGAUCAGGAAGAACACCGAUGGCGAAGGCAGCCAGCUGGGCGCUUAUCGACGCUCAUGCUCGAAAGUGCGGGUAGCAAACAGGAUUAGAUACCCUGGUA
rnacentral:rRNA from 1 species